UACGGGGGGGGCAAGCGUUGUUCGGAAUUACUGGGCGUAAAGGCUCGUAGGUGGCCAACUAAGUCAGACGUGAAAUCCCUCGGCUUAACCGGGGAACUGCGUCUGAUACUGGAUGGCUUGAGUUCGGGAGAGGGAUGCGGAAUUCCAGGUGUAGCGGUGAAAUGCGUAGAUAUCUGGAGGAACACCGGUGGCGAAGGCGGCAUCCUGGACCGACACUGACGCUGAGGAGCGAAAGCCAGGGGAGCA
rnacentral:rRNA from 1 species